ensembl:lncRNA
GCCUUUGGAAAGCAACCACCAACCUCGCUGUCAGCGCCUGGGCCUCGUGGCCCCAGGCUGACCUCCACUCCGUGACCUUGGCUCCGUCCUUGCUGCUGAAGCCCUGCCCUGUCAGCAUGGCCUCGCCCCCCUCGUGUUGCCUGCCCCUGCCCCUCAUGGUGCCUGGCCCCACCCCCUCGUGGUGCCCAUCCUUUGCAGAACGGCUCUUGCAGGUCCCAGUGGGCAGGGCGGAGGCUGGGCAGUCCUGGGCCUCUUUGACCUGCAGGUGGCUGUCCCUGAGAGCCUGCAGGUGACGAGGACACCACAGAGACGGAAGUGGUGGCACCUCAGCAUCUGCAGAGGCCCCACCGGAGGAAUAGUAGUCGUUCCCCCUUGUCUGCCACUUGGAGCAGCUGGGUCCUCCCACCAGGGGUCGGGACCAAUCGGUUGCACCUACGUUCAUCACCCGCGCACUUGGGCAGAGCAAGAAGUAGGGCUGUCCAUCCUGUGCGUACGAGAACUGAAAGGCCCUUGUGAAGCGUCAGAAGGCAGAGUCCUUCGUCAUACGUGUAGUUACUCCCCUCGUGUGUGCUGGGACUUACCAACCCUUCCGACCUGGUUUUCAGAAAGUGACUCAUAUUUUCCACUCGUAUUUCAUUUGUUUACAUCAGCGGUUCUCAAGCUGUGGUCCGAGGAUGCUGGCGACCCUCAAGACCCUUUCAAGAGACCCACCAGGCAAAACUAAGACUCAUGACCAUACCAACGUCGUUCACUCUUUACCUUCUCAUUUCCUCUCGAAAGUACAAAUGAUGAAUUCUAGAGGCUGAAGCCUGCUCUGAUAGCUGAUGGACUCACGCUUGUGCAUUCAUGGGCUUUGAAAGUCUUUCAACCUUAAUUUCUCCUGUAGGGAAGCCUGGUGUUCUGCAGGCCAUGGGCUCGCAGAGUUGGACACAACUGAGCGACUGAACAACAACAAAUACUGAUAGAUGUGAACCAUAUAAACAAAAGCUCUUUGGGAAUAUUCAAUAAUUUUUAAGAGUGCAAAGGAGUCUGGCUACAAACAGUUUGAGAACUGCUAGUUUCUAUAUUUAUUAAAUCACACAUUUCUGAUAUCAAGCACAAUUGGCAUAAGAAAGACUUGGGAAUAAGCGUAACUGACUUGCAAUAAAUAAACACAGAGUUGACUGGAGGGCAUUUUGCAGAAAGGCCAAGAGCACUAAGCCUGCCCUGAGCAUCGGCUAGGAUGCUGCGGAAUGAGGAGAUGGGCAUCUGUCUGCGCGGAGGCAGACGAGAGGCAUCCACGGUACCCGAGGCGACGGAGUGACAGCGACGUUGCUGUUACGGAACACGUGCUGCGCGCCAGGGCCUGUGCUCAGUGUCUCCGUGGAGCCUCACCACCACCCUGAGAGAGGGCUUCUGCUUAUACAGGGGAUCGAACAGGAGGGACCGGCUGCUCCAGGGGCCCUUCCAUCUCAUGGUCUGAAGCUUCCUCAGAGCCCAGGAAUCCUGGGUUGCCCCCAUCCUGCCAGUUCUGAGACAGUGGAUCCUGGGGACACACAGGCUGUUCCUUCCUCCACGCUUAGAUACCAGCCGUGGAGUGAUGUUCCCGAGAGGGAGGCCGAGAGUGCCUGAACUGGGAGUUUGGUGAUCUGGACGAAUCUGAGCAAGUGGUUUGACUUCUCCGAACCCCGUUUUCCCCAACUUCUGAACAGUGUGAGGUACCUGGAGGAUUGCAAGGGGCCUUUUCAGAUCUGCAUUUCUCUUUGUUGCCUUUUGAGAACUCACCACAUUCCCCAAGCUGCUUCCAUGCCCAAUGUGUUUUGCAGACAAAGUGUCUGGAGAAGGGAUUGGGGCGGGUGUGGCAACCCCCUCCCCAUUCUUCAGGGAUUCCAGGAAGCCGGACCUGGGAGUAGGAGGCUGUCACUGACAUGCAGCCCUGUGCUGCCCCCGUGUGACCUAUGUGGGCACUGCACCAGGAAAGCCUUUCUCACCAACCUCUCUGAGGGCUACCCUGACAGAUGCCCAUCACCAACCUGGCUGGCCCGCUCAACCUCCCGCUGUCUUCCUGCUCACCUCUCACCUGGGCCAGGGAGCUCCUGGCGACCAAGGAUCAUCUUAGGAUGAGGACGCCCCAGGGUGGAAGGACUAAGAUCUCCGAUCAGCCAACCAGUGAGGCAUGUGCUGAAUGGAGCAAAGCUGGCUGGGCUGGACUUGGGUUCCAAUAGGCAGGUCUGGAGACAUGGCCACAAGGCAGCUCUGGGAGUGUCUAGGGUGUCAAUGACAAGCCAAGCUUGGCACAAUCCAGAAGAAUCGCUGUGCCCACGCUGCCAGGACAUUCAAAGACACACUGCCUAAUGAGCAAAGAAAAUGACCGCGCUUUACCAGCAGCUGCUGCAAGACACGUUUGAAGGGUCCAGUUUGUUAUCUUCCCUCCACUUCCUCACAGCUGUCUCCCUCGGGCUCCUCAAGCUCCUGCUCAUCUGUCCCAGUUGCUCCAGGAGGCUUCUCCCCCACCACCUGGAGACUGCCCCUUCCAGAGCGUGUGACCUUCUCAGCACCCCCAUCAGCUGAGAGGUGAUCUGGUCCAGGCUGCUCGCAUUUCAGUGGCCAGAACUCGUCACGUGCCCCCUCCAGCCAUGGGACAGGCAGUCUGCCAGGAGCUGGAAGGAGAAUUGAUGUCAAGGGUCAUCUCUAGUGCUCCCAGCUCCCUCAGAACCCCCACGGGUUCCAGUCUGGCCCUUCUUAGUCAUUUUCCCACCUCUCAGUCACUUUCGGAUUUUCUGCCUCUUUGUACCUGCACUGCAUUCUGUGAAAUUCCCUCCCAUUUAUGUCUCAGUUCACCAAAUCUUUCUACUUCUCUAUAUCACCAACCCUGGUCUCGAAAUUAUUUUCAUUUUUAAAUGACAUUUUUGGGUCAUUUUCAAUUGUAGAAUUUCAGUUUGGUUCAUUUUCAAGUCUGUAUUUUUUUCACAAAACUUUGUUUUUUAAAUAUGGGUUUUGUUCCUUCUUUAUGUCUUUAAUCAUUCUAAACAUGAUUUAUCAUUUCAUUUGAACUGUUCUGUUGUUAUAAGUGCUUGGAGGAUUAAUCAUUCUGUUUUUUUUUUUUUUUAAUCUGCUGGCUUCCCUUGUGAAUUGUUUCCAUGUGUAGUUUGUUAUUUUAAAAAAUCAUUAUGAGUUUUCUUGGGGUAUGUCACCAUUUUUUUCCCUAGGAGAUUCCCACGUGCUCUUGGAUUGGAGACCCUUGCAGAAAGGGCUUUCAUUUUUGCUUUGGUCUGAAACCAAAGGUCACUUCUCUGGAAACAAAGUUUGCAAUCACUUUUGGACUUGGGAUGCCCUUGCUUUAUAGGAGGUAUAAAUUAAAGCUGUCUAUGUGAUUGGGAA